rnacentral:rRNA from 1 species
UACGUAGGGGGCAAGCGUUGCCCGGAAUCAUUGGGCGUAAAGCGCGUGUAGGCGGUUCGAUAAGUCUGCUGUGAAAGUCCAGGGCUCAACCCUGGAAAGCCGGUGGAUACUGUCGGACUAGAGUGCGGAAGAGGCGAGUGGAAUUCCCGGUGUAGCGGUGAAAUGCGCAGAUAUCGGGAGGAACACCAAUUGCGAAGGCAGCUCGCUGGGACGUUACUGACGCUGAGGCACGAAGGCCAGGGGAGCAAACGGG